rnacentral:lncRNA from 1 species
ACAUGAAUUUCCCCACAUUGUGGUGACCCCCCAACCAGCGACCACAACCCAUCUGAAAUUAAAGAGCCCCCCUUCGCUGGUUACUGUCAAGUAUCCUUAAUCCUUAAUUAAAGGUCUAAUUUUUCAUUAAUUCUUUUAAAUUCUUUUUAAAUACUCUUAAAUGCUCUCUAAAUUCAAAGGGACGGCAAUGUAGGAAGCGCUCCUCCUUCUCCCCCCCCCACUAACCAUGUAGCCGUUAUCCCCAACCCCCUCUCUUUCCCUUUCUCUCUUUAUUUCCUUCCUAUUUUCUCUCUCUAACUACUCUCUUUGUUUUGGUAAUUAACUACUCUCCUUGUUCAAUUUCAUUUUUUAUAGGCUUAAUUUUUAUUGAGUAAUACGCGGACUAUAGAGUAGACAACACCAGGAAAAUAACAAAAAAUAAUUCUUAUUAGAUAACCAAAAAAAAAUCCAAAACCCAUCUCUCUCUCCCCUCACGCAGACACUUCUUUCGUAGCAAAACAGCAAGCCUUUACAUAGCUUAAGAGCAACAUCACACUAAAUAACAACCAACAAAACCACAGAGAUAGAGAGAGAAAACAAAGCCUCCAAACCCUUCUCUCUCUAUCUCUCCCCUUCUUCUCUACUUCACUCUUCCCUUCUCUUCUUCAGGGGCCAAGAGAGGAGCUCAGAAACUGGAGUCCAGUGCUCCGCCGGGGAAUGUGACUCUCCCUCUCCACCAAAAGGCUAGCUGGUGGUGGAAUUCGAGAAGAUAGGCAGAGAUCGAGAUAGGGUCGAGGCGGAGAACCAGAUCUCUCCCUGGGGAGCAUGGUGGCCGCCAUCCCCGCCGCUUCUCCGACCACCACCGCCUCGGCCACCUCCACCUCCCCCGGCCCCAAAAACCCCUCCCUCCCCGACGAUCCCCAUAACCCCUCCCGUCCCCCUCUCAUCCCCUCAGAGAAGGACAAUGCUGCCGCCGUCUCCCGCCGCCCCCGGACCAAGGAGAUCUCCUCUCGAUAUCUCUCCUCCUACUCCUCGUCGUCUUCUACUACCUCUACUUCCUAUUCUUCUUCCAAUUCCUACUCUUCUUCGCGCUCUUCUUCGAGUUCCCGGCGCUUCCCCUCA